rnacentral:rRNA from 1 species
UACAGAGGGUGCAAGUGUUGUUCGGAAUUAUUGGGCGUAAAGGGCGCGUAGGUGGUUUGGUAAGUCGGGUGUGAAAUCCCUGGGCUCAACUCAGGAACUGCAUUCGAUACUGCCAGGCUAGAGUGCGGUAGAGGGUAGUGGAAUUCCCGGUGUAGAGGUGAAAUUCGUAGAGAUCGGGAGGAACACCAGUGGCGAAGGCGGUUACCUGGGCCGACACUGACGCUAAGGCGCGAAAGCGUGGGGAGCAAACAGG